AACACACAUACACAAACUGCUCCAGUCUUGGGAAAACAGCAAAUGGGGGGUGGGGGGGACAUCACAGAGAAGCAAUACUGAGUAUCAUUGGACUAGCAGGACUGGCUCAAUGUACUUUACAAGGUGUUUGGAGGUUGUUUCACACAUUUUGGGAGCAAGACAGAAGGAACAUGUUGAGGCACUGAGCCAUCUAUCCCUCCACCCGCACCCAGGCAGACUGUGAGGGAGCCUGUUGCCUUGGAUACCAGUUAGUGGAGAAACAGGCUGCUCUUUCCAGAGCAGAGAUAACAAAACAGAAUGUCGUUGUUGAUUCUUCCACCAUUACAUGGAACACCGUUAAAUUAAAAAAAAAAAAAAUGCCUUACAUGAUAGUUUUUCAUCCAGUAAUUUCUAGGGAAAUUCUAGUUGGAAGCAACCAAUAGAAGCAAAUAAAUAGAAGGGAAUUUGUAAUGACCUCUUGGACAGUAUUCAGUACUACAGUCAAUUCUCACAGUAAUAACCCUAUUCAAGAGUAACCCUCCCUCCUUUGACAAGGCAUUACAUCAGGAUAAAGAGUGCACCUCUACAUAAACACCCCCAAACUGAAGACAAAAUGCCUAAUUUGUGGAGAACUGGGAUGUCCAAUCUAAGAGUGGUCUGAGGUGAACAAUAGCAGUUGGAAGGAAUGGAAAAAUGCUUGAACAGCACCAUGGCCGCUACAGACCUGUGCCUUAAACGAAGCAUGUUAUCUACAGUAAUGCUUGGCUUCAUUCUUGGAGCAGUGAUCGUGCUCACAAUCUGCGGCAAUGUGGUGGUGUGCCUAGCCGUGGGCAUGAACCGCAAGCUGCGUAGCCUAACCAACUGCUUUAUCGUGUCUCUGGCUACCACUGACCUGCUCCUGGGACUGCUAGUGCUGCCCUUCUCUGCUGUCAUUGAACUGCACAGGAGCUGGCCAUUUGGGGCCACUUUCUGUAACAUUUACACCAGCCUGGACGUCAUGUUGUGCACUGCCUCCAUCCUUAAUCUCUUCAUGAUCAGCUUGGACAGAUACUAUGCCGUCACUGCCCCCCUGCGCUACUCCAUGCUGGUGACCCCGUGUCGUGUGGCUGUGGCCAUGGGGUUCAUAUGGGUGGUGUCACUCAUGGUGUCCUUCUUGCCUAUCCACAUGGGGUGGAACACACUGGACCUCACAGUUCAGAACAAGGGCAAAGAAGACAAGGAGGACAAAUGCAGGCUCGAGCUGAACAAGGGCUACGUGCUCGUGGACGGCGUUGGCACAUUCUACCUCCCACUGGUUGUCAUGUGCAGCACCUACUAUCGCAUAUUCAAGAUCGCGCGGGAACAGGCCAAGCGAAUCAACUGCUGCACCGCUUCCUCCUCGCUCAAUAACCACUGUUCCCUGCCCGCGAAAGAGCACAAGGCCACGGUGACCCUAGCCACCGUCAUGGGGGCCUUCAUCAUCUGCUGGUUCCCCUACUUCACCGUAUUCACCUAUCAGGGUCUGAGUCAGGAGGAAGUGGAUGAAAUGACCUUCGCCAUCGUACUGUGGCUUGGCUACGCCAACUCUGCCCUCAACCCCAUCCUGUACGCAGCUCUGAACCGGGACUUCCGCACUGCUUACAGCAGCCUGCUCCGCUGCCACAAAGUGGGCCCAGCCACAGCCCCUCCUCACUCUCACCAGGGCCGAGCAGAGCUCCCCAGGGGUAGUCACCAACAACACAGCCCCAACUGUAAGGGGAGCCUACCGGAGGAGAGGGCACUCAGCUUGCAGGACAGGAAUGGAAAGGAGAACCCCUUCAUCCAUGAGACCGCAGAAAGGGAUCUGCCAGUUUCCUGUGGGAAGUCAAUGGGGAUCCUGUCCUUCUGCCAGGGCGUGUGGCUGGCCAAGGUAGUGCCAGCGCGGAACAGGUGGAUCUUUGAGGAGAAUGGAGCUGAGCCCACAGUCUCAGAAGAUGGUUGAGCCUUAAUACAGAACCUCAGAAAAGAAAUAAAAUUUGAAUAAAAAAACAGAAUUCAUCUUUUAAGAGGGAAUCUUGGAAUUACAGAAUGCCAGAACAUGAUACAUUUUAAAACAGGACUCCAGAACAUGGUGGAUGCUGAAUUGAACUAUUCCAAUUUGAGCUAAUUUCUUGCUAUCAAAUGAAUCUUGUCAUGGUAACUAACUAACUAACUAACUAACUAACUAACUAAAUAAAUACAUAAAUAAAUAAAUCAUCUGAAGAUCAGCUGCUGUUUAAGUGCAGUAAACCAGUAUGAAGGCUCAUAUGAUAGCCCUGCAUUAAAAUUCAGGAGCUGAGAAUGGAGGUGCCACAGCAGCACUGGAGCGUGGCGAUGCAAGUGACAUCUCUGAGCGACUGAGGGCAACAUCUUUGCACUGUUAAUAAAUGGUUAUUCUAAAUUGUGUGGCUUGUGAGACAGCAAGGGCACAUGGAGUUACAAGUGGCCGUACAUCUUAAGAGAGCCUUUCAGAGAUGUUUUUGAUAAGCAGGGACUCCAGAAACCUUUACUUUCCACCUAGGAUGAGCACUUAUUCUUUGUUAACCGUUAAUUGCCAUUUGUAGUGCUUUAGUGCCAAGGGAAGAAAAACCCAAAUUAUUGGUGCUGUUUUUAAUUUGGAGAAUGGAGAAUGAAGAUGUUAUUAAUGACAAUGAAGGCUUAACAGCAAGGUUACGAUCCUUGACACUCAAAAUUGUCUUCCGACGAAAUUUACAGUCAAAUCUAGAACGUUUACAGUCAAAUCUAGAACAUAUUCUGUGAAAAUAAAAUUGUUGGUAUUCCAAAGCAAAAAUAUUCUUGAAAAAUCGAUGCCCAGCUUUUGGGAAUAAUAAAAAAAAACUUCUUAGCAGAUUUUGAUCUGAUUCAAUGGGAAGAUUGAACCAUUACACUGUGUCAGCUAUAUCUUCCGCAGAACCACUGCAGUUUAAGUAGAAAUGUCUAUUAAAAUAUACAACAUGGGGAAAUGAAUGUUAUUGAACUGGGGAAAUCUAACAUGUCUAGCAUUAAAUAGGAUUCAAAUAGUCAUAAAAGUAUGAAACCAUUUAGGUAAACGGAUUGUUGAAAUGGUUAACAAACUGAAUAGUUAAACAGAUUUCUAGUUUUUCAGUAAGCAUUCGUCCAUUUCGAAAAGCUAAAGACCCUGUGCAUGAUGAUUAGGCAGUGAAAUAAAGAUUUUGAAAUUGUUAAAAACAAUUCUGAUAGACAGUGUCUUCUCUCAGAAAUGUUCUAUGUCAUAUGGGCUACUACAUUUUUACAAAUCCCGCCAACAAUUGUUAUACUCUGCAUGCUGAAUGAAGUCACAUUCUGCCUGCUAUCAUUUCUUGACCAUUUUCUCUUCAGACUCGACAGCGUUGCAUCUCACUUUUAAUCUAUGUACUUUAUGCUUUGAAAAGUGUUCUCUCCUUAAAUUUAGAUUGGCAGCAACUUUGAAAUGGAUCUCAAAAACCCAUUCCAUACAAUUGAAAAACAAAACAAAAAAAAAACUGGAUCCAGAAUAUAUCUCCAUUCCUAAGUGGCUCUACCAGUUUUCAAGUGACUUUAUUUUCUUAGGGUCACUAAUGUAACACAUCUGGGUGCAAACUGGGGACCACAUACUAUACACUGCAAGCAUGCAUCUUAACCAUGUAACCACAUUGGCAGAGGCCAGAAUCUGUAAUGGUGUUGCCCACAAGACUGCCCAUAACACCAAUACAAUUUCAAGUAAUUUCUGUGGGGGACUGAUAUAGAUAAAUAGAUAGAUAGAUAGAUAGAUAGAUAGAUAGAUAGAUAGAUAGAUAGGUAGAUAGUUUCAAUGUUUUUUAGGGACAGGAUCUGUGGUUGGAAGGACUAGUUCCUUGGGUCAGAUAAUGACUACUGUAAGUGCCUGAGCUCACCUCCAGUCACCCUACCAAUAGUCUGCAUGGCUUUCUUCAUUUUGCAGGUAUUAAAAGUUGUGCUACAUGUUAAGACUUGAGGGGACAGUAAAGUAAAUAGCUUCUUUCCAGCCGAGUCCCUCGCAACAUCAAUACGGCACUGUAAACCUUACUCCACAAGGCAGCAUCUAUUAGCUUAUACCCCUGGGGCCUCUGGAACAAAAUUGAGCAUAUUACUGCAUGAAGGCAAGAGGCUAACUCAGAAGAGGCGAUUUCUUCAGCGCAGAAACCCAGGGCAUAAUAAUGAAAAGUAAACAGCUACCAGCUAAAAGAACAAAAAUAAGAAGGCUACAGCUGCCUUUUGUAAAUAUGGGUUGUCUAUCAGGCUGUUCAGUGGUUUUAAUGGUGUCUACCUUACAUUAAGAUCCAUUAGCCCCAAGAGGGAUAACAUAUCCAAAGUGUUCCAUGGGUCCCUGGUAGAUUUAAUAGACCUACAUGCCUGCUAUUAUUCACUUGGCAAAGCGGCUUUGUCACCAAGCUGGUAUACAAACAAUAGGUAAUCCUUGGAGUAUCUGGUCCAUUUGGGUAAAUUCUCCUGCUCUGUUUUAAUAAGAAUCACACUUCUGGAGAUGCAACGCUAUUACGGCUGUCACUUAUGUUAUUUGACUCUGUGUAGCCGAGGUUCAUUUAUGAAUGAUAAUACAAAAAAGGUUAAAAAGAAACACAUGAUACAUGGAAGAUCAAUGAGAAAGUAAAUUAAUAAAUAAAAAUACAACUGAACCCCUACGCCCUCAGCCACAUUAUGUUUCCAUAGCAAUGAACGGCACACUUCAACUUUAAUUGAUCAACCAUCAUUUGGGACCACACCAGGUACGCUUGGAAAAUUUCCCACCCAGGGUUAAGCUGUGAAGUAUUCUUCAUAUCACGUACUGUCUCCUCAAAUUGAAGCUGACAAGAAGAAAUGAGGGAGAAUUACUCAUAAAACCAGGCAAUAUAUUCAAUACCUGGGGAAGAAAUAAGAUUUUCUGCAUUUUUACAUACCAGACUACAACAAGCUAGCAUGGUCAAACUGUGUUAUCUGAAAGUCAGUCAGGAAACCCUAUAUUAAAAAAGAAAACCCAAACAAACGAUGUGCAGUACUAUUUGUGUGGUUUCUUUGGCUUCUGGGUGCACACU